GCUUGCUUCAGCAGCACACAUAUACUAAAAUUGGAAUAAUACAGAAAAGAUUAGCAUGGCCCCUGUGCAAGGAUGACAUGCAAAUUCAUGAAGCGUUCCAUAUUUGG
rnacentral:snRNA from 1 species